rfam:Myotis lucifugus cont2.43942, whole genome shotgun sequence.
GCCAGUUUGGCUCAGUGGAUAGAGCGUUGGCCUGCGAACUCAAGGGUCCCAGGUUCGAUUCCAGUCAAGGGCA